AAUCAGACGAGAGCAGACUACAGAACUCUGAGCCUCAGUGUCUUGAGCUGUGCAAUGGGGGUGCUAGCGGAAGCCGAGCACAUCUGUCCAGUGUCAGCACUGUGUCUGUCUGGGGAGGUGCUCAGAACAGAUCUGCCGAGUGAAGCGCAGCUCUUGUCUCUGGCCUCAGCGUGGCCCUGACAGCCAUCAGGGAAAACAGCACGAAGCAGAGAUCUGAUUCAUCCAGCUCCUCAGGCCAAAUACCUGGCGGAAGGUUCCAGAGUCUCUGAGUCACAAUAUCUAAGUUUAUCGUAGGCACAAUCUGGUUCAGCGUGAGUCCCAUUAGCUCAGGGUCCACCAAGGUCCUGGGACUGGUCCCCC
rnacentral:lncRNA from 1 species